CUAACCUGAGAGCAGAGCUCUGGCCCUUUGCUUAAAGAGUGCACAGCUCAUGCAGGUGGGCUGCCCCAGCUGUGCUGUCCUCUUGGCUCUCCAUGGACUUGUGACAGAAGAGAAAUAAUUCGGUCCCAGUGACAAAGAACAUCAAAUAUUUCAUGUCAAAAGCACCCAGUGUGGUGGCUGUGGAGGGCAGUCAGCUUUUCCCCUGAAACCAAGCCUUCUUCUCAAGCUCUCACCUGCACAGGUGAGCUGGCAACCGAGAGGGCUGUGACCCUGCUGAGCAGCAGCACUUUCACACAGCUGCAGCUGGGAUGAACAGGCCACAAAGCCACAUUUUCUCCACAUUACUGAAGCAAGUAGUAAAUCCAAAGGCAGCCACUGAUGUGCAAACACUACAGCUAAUGGCAGACAGGCAAACAAGCUGUGGUGGUAGAAGGAAGACUCAACUGAGGAAGGACUUCCAGCAGCACGGGAGCACUACAACUACCAAGGACCUCCUUUCUUCAGCCACCCAGGGCCAGGCCUCAGCUUGCUGCCUUCCUGGGCAUCCUCACACACAGACAAUGACAAAGAGCCGUGUUUUCAAGUGUGACCAGCAAUUUCUAUCACUUGGCCAGUGACAUCCUAAAAGGAGGUGUGGUUUCUGAAAGCAACAAGCAAGCUGUGAAAAAAGCCAAGUAAUCUAAAGGUUCUUCAAUGUGGCAGCCAGAAAUUCAGGCUUUCCAUCAAAAAAACCCUAAAUAAAGUUCGGACUGAGUGCA
rnacentral:lncRNA from 1 species